rnacentral:tRNA from 1 species
GACGAGGUGGCCGAGUGGUUAAGGCGUUGGACUGCUAAGCCAUCUCUUUGCAGAAAUCCAAUGGGAUCUUCCCGCGUGAGUUCGAAUCUCAUCCUCGUCG